UACGUAGGGUGCAAGCGUUAAUCGGAAUUACUGGGCGUAAAGCGUGCGCAGGCGGCUUUGCAAGACAGAUGUGAAAUCCCCGGGCUUAACCUGGGAACUGCAUUUGUGACUGCAUGGCUGGAGUGCGGCAGAGGGGGAUGGAAUUCCGCGUGUAGCAGUGAAAUGCGUAGAUAUGCGGAGGAACACCGAUGGCGAAGGCAAUCCCCUGGGCCGGCACUGACGCUCAGGCACGAAAGCGUGGGGAGCAAACAGG
rnacentral:rRNA from 1 species